rnacentral:siRNA from 1 species
UACUCCAACGCACUUCUAUUCUCA